rnacentral:tRNA from 1 species
GCCCCUGUGGCGGAAUCGGUAGACGCGCUCGACUCAAAAUCGAGUUUCUUCGCGAAGUGCCAGUUCGAGUCUGGCCAGGGGCACCA